GAUUUGGAGGUAGUUGGGGCCUAAGUUGAAGAGUCCAUCUGUAUUCGCCAAUUGGUAGGUACCAUGGCCUCCACUAACAAUACACACGCCGAGAGUCGCGCCACUGAUAGCCAAGGUCUCUUGUAUGUGUAUAUAGUUACUUAAAUGUAAAGUAUGAGAUUACUGUGCACUGUGUAUGUUGAUUGAUUAACCAUGUCGUUUAGGGUUGACGAAUGAUACCCUAUUUUGAG
rnacentral:lncRNA from 1 species